GAUGAACGCUGGCGGCGUGCCUAAUACAUGCAAGUCGAGCGAACAGACGAGGAGCUUGCUCCUUUGACGUUAGCGGCGGACGGGUGAGUAACACGUAGGUAACCUACCUAUAAGACUGGGAUAACUUCGGGAAACCGGAGCUAAUACCGGAUAAUAUUUCGAACCGCAUGGUUCGAUAGUGAAAGAUGGCUUUGCUAUCACUUAUAGAUGGACCUGCGCCGUAUUAGCUAGUUGGUAAGGUAACGGCUUACCAAGGCAACGAUACGUAGCCGACCUGAGAGGGUGAUCGGCCACACUGGAACUGAGACACGGUCCAGACUCCUACGGAGGCAGCAGUAGGGAAUCUUCCGCAAUGGGCGAAAGCCUGACGGAGCAACGCCGCGUGAGUGAUGAAGGUCUUCGGAUCGUAAAACUCUGUUAUUAGGGAAGAACAAACGUGUAAGUAACUGUGCACGUCUUGACGGUACCUAAUCAGAAAGCCACGGCUAACUACGUG
rnacentral:rRNA from 1 species